rnacentral:rRNA from 1 species
UACGAAGGGGGCUAGCGUUGUUCGGAUUUACUGGGCGUAAAGAGCUCGUAGGCGGUCUGUCGCGUCGGCUGUGAAAACCCGAGGCUCAACCUCGGGCCUGCAGUCGAUACGGGCAAACUAGAGUACUGCAGGGGAGACUGGAAUUCCUGGUGUAGCGGUGAAAUGCGCAGAUAUCAGGAGGAACACCGGUGGCGAAGGCGGGUCUCUGGGCAGUAACUGACGCUGAGGAGCGAAAGCGUGGGGAGCGAACAGG